rnacentral:misc_RNA from 1 species
AGGUGUGGGACACAGUGGAGAACAGCGACAUCGGCUGCACGCCGGGCAGUGGGAGGAACCACGUGGGGGUCUUCGCCGAUGCCGGCCUCAGCCUGACUUCAAACGUGAACAUCAACACGGAGCAGAGAAGUGAGGUCCAGUGUGCAAAGCCUGCAAAACGCAAGCGCCGCUCCGUGAGGCUCAUCAAGCACAAGGGCACCAAGAUGGCCGAG